GUCAGAAAGAGACGCCUGUGGACAGAGCUGACAUGAUUCGUGUUGCCCAGGAUGGACUCAGGCAGUAUAUAUCCAGGUCAAGAACCUGGGCCAUUGGGAGGCGAGGGACUCUGCGUAUCACUGAGUAUAAGCGCAUCCCAUCUCCUCGCAGCCUCGCUCACUGACCUCAGUCUAUGGCCUAAGCAACAGGGGACAGAUCAAGCACCAUACCAAGCAGUGCUGAGGAGGUCUGGAUGAAAUCUGAAACUGCAUCCUGGUAAAUCUCAUUCUGCUGAAG